rnacentral:rRNA from 1 species
CCUACGGGAGGCAGCAGUGAGGAAUAUUGGUCAAUGGACGGAAGUCUGAACCAGCCAAGUAGCGUGCAGGAUGACGGCCCUAUGGGUUGUAAACUGCUUUUGUAUGGGGAUAAAGUUAGGGACGUGUCCCUAUUUGCAGGUACCAUACGAAUAAGGACCGGCUAAUUCCGUGCCAGCAGCCGCGGUAAUACGGAAGGUCCAGGCGUUAUCCGGAUUUAUUGGGUUUAAAGGGAGCGUAGGCUGGAGAUUAAGUGUGUUGUGAAAUGUAGACGCUCAACGUCUGAAUUGCAGCGCAUACUGGUUUCCUUGAGUACGCACAACGUUGGCGGAAUUCGUCGUGUAGCGGUGAAAUGCUUAGAUAUGACGAAGAACUCCGAUUGCGAAGGCAGCUGACGGGAGCGCAACUGACGCUUAAGCUCGAAGG